GGGGAUGUAGGGUGAUCUGGCUGUGACAUCUGUCACCCCCCUGACCACCAGGGUUAAUCUGGCUGGCUAGAUGGGUGUUCUCUUCCUCCCUCAUGGACCCAUGUUUGUCCCUCCAGAAGUUGUGUUGAAGAGGACAGCCUUCCCCAAAUAGAGGAGGACUGGUCUUCAGUCAGGAUUAUUUAAGUAGCUGUGCUCUCCUCCAAUAACUUCCAAACAAGCUCUCAAGAUGUUCAAUACAGGAAGACAAAUACUGCAUGUCUUCACUUAUAGAUGGAAGUUUAAAAAGUUUAUCUUGUUUUUUUUU
ensembl:misc_RNA 7SK 7SK RNA